rnacentral:lncRNA from 1 species
GAGCACCACGAGCUCCGGCUCUGCUGGCACCAGCGCGCACCCCGCGCCACGCUCCUCCAGCGGAUGUCACCUGUAGUUCCUGUGCGCCUGUCUCUCCCCAGCUCUGCUCCUGGGUCCCCUGAGGGUCACGGCCCCGCUGGGCCCUCAGUGGCGUCAUUGCACAGAGCAGCCCAGGCUUCUUCCUUCAGGCUGACUUAGCUGCUGAGAAACAAUAUGUUGGCUAGCUCCGGGUCCCACUUCGCCUUCUAGUACUGCGGUGACAGAUGAUGAAACAAAUGCUUACAAGACAGGGGGUGAAACCAUGAUCCAUCCAGUCUUACCAGAAUGCACACAGGGCUCUACUCGAGAUGCUCGAUGCAUGUUUGGGAGCAGAUAAAUGAGUGAAUAAAA